rnacentral:rRNA from 1 species
GAUGAACGCUGGCGGCGUGCCUAAUACAUGUAAGUAGAACGCUGAAGGAAGGAGCUUGCUCUUUCCGGAUGAGUUGCGAACGGGUGAGUAACGCGUAGGUAACCUGCCUGGUAGCGGGGGAUAACUAUUGGAAACGAUAGCUAAUACCGCAUAACAGUAGAUGUUGCAUGAUAUCUACUUAAAAGGUGCAAUUGCACCACUACCAGAUGGACCUGCGUUGUAUUAGCUAGUUGGUGAGGUAACGGCUCACCAAGGCGACGAUACAUAGCCGACCUGAGAGGGUGAUCGGCCACACUGGGACUGAGACACGGCCCAGACUCCUACGGGAGGCAGCAGUAGGGAAUCUUCGGCAAUGCACGGAAGUCUGACCGAGCAACGCCGCGUGAGUGAAGAAGGUUUUCGGAUCGUAAAGCUCUGUUGUAAGAGAAGAACGAGUGUGAGAGUGGAAAGUUCACACUGUGACGGUAUCUUACCAGAAAGGGACGGCUAACUACGUG